CUGCUGUGAUGUAAGACAUACCUUUCACCUUCUGCCAUGAUUGUGAAGCUUCCUCAGCCAUAUGGAACUGAGCCAUUUCCUCAUCAUAAAGAUGCAGUAGCCAUAAUUAUUCCAAUCAUCCAAAAGAGAAGACUUUAAAGUACAGUAGUUAGCCAUCAAAAAGAGAAGGCUAAUAUCCAGUUAUGAGAGCAUUUUCCCAAGAUACUUCUCCCCUGGACCUUGUUCCCAGGCUCCGUGUGAAGCUGAACACUCCGCAUGAUCUCCCUGCCACCAUAGCAAGCUAUGAAGUUCAUUACACAUGCAGAUUUUCCAAUGGGACAAGAUGUGGAGGUGAAAGACAAGGAGAUUGGUGAUCCUGACCCUGUUGUACAGCAAUGUCCUAGGGCUUCAUAUUCACUCACCAUUUAUCCACUGAC
rnacentral:lncRNA from 1 species